rnacentral:lncRNA from 1 species
CUCCACCAUCACCAAAACCUCAGCCUCCUUAUUAUUAUCACUCUCCACCUCCUCCAACACCAGUUGUUAAGCCACCAUACUACUACCAAUCUCCACCUCCUCCAUCUCCAAAACCUAAGCCUCCAUACUACUACCAAUCUCCUCCUCCUCCAUCACCAAAACCUAAACCUCCUUACUACUACCAAUCUCCACCUCCUCCAUCACCAAAACCUCAGCCUCCAUACUACUAUCAAUCUCCACCUCCUCCAACACCAGUUGUGAAGCCACCAUACUACUACCAAUCUCCACCUCCUCCAUCACCAAAACCUCAGCCUCCUUACUAUUACCAAUCUCCACCUCCUCCAACACCAGUUGUUAAGCCACCAUACUACUAUAAAUCUCCACCUCCCCCAUCACCCUCUCCUCCACCACCAUACUACUACAAAUCUCCACCACCACCAUCCCCAUCACCGCCACCUCCAUACUACUAUAAAUCUCCACCUCCACCAUCACCGGUUGUUAAGCCACCAUACUACUAUAAAUCCCCACCUCCCCCAUCACCCUCUCCUCCCCCUCCAUACUACUAUAAAUCUCCACCUCCAUACUACUACCACUCUCCACCUCCACCAUCACCAGUUGUUAAGCCACCAUACUACUACAAAUCUCCACCUCCACCAUCACCCUCACCUCCCCCUCCAUACUACUAUAAAUCUCCACCCCCACCUUCACCAUCCCCUCCUCCUCCAUACUAUUAUAAAUCACCACCACCACCAUCCCCAUCACCGCCACCUCCAUACUAUUACAAAUCCCCUCCACCUCCAUCCCCAUCUCCACCGCCUCCUUAUUACUAUCACAGUCCUCCUCCACCAUCUCCCACUCCUCAUCCUCCCUACUACUACAAAUCCCCUCCACCACCAACGUCCUAUCCUCCACCUCCUUACCACUAUGUGAGCCCUCCACCACCUUCUCCAUCUCCACCUCCACCAUACUAUUACAAAUCACCACCUCCUCCCUCCCCAGCCCCCGCUCCAAAGUACAUUUACAAAUCACCUCCAC